AAAAGUAUAUGCCCAUUGGGUUGUUCUCAUCCCAUCGGGGGAUAGCAUUAUUAUGUCCGUAUCCAAACAGAAAAACCUUCUAGGGUUUUAAUUUUUUGGUGCUAAAAUUAAAAAAAAAAAUUAGCAAAAAAGAGCGGGAGAUAAAAUUAUAAACCAUAGAACUCGCAUUUCCAAUUGCAAGCUCAUUUCAAUUUCUACACUUUUGACUCCCUAAACCUCUCUUCGAGUCGACUCACUCCUCAAAAAAUGCCGGUUGGCGUUCGCCAACUCUCCGUACUCGGCGAGUUCAAGCCGUUCGGAUUAAUCGCCGAGGCACUUGACGGAAAACCGUCGGAUACUUCGACCGAUGAUUACGAUUAUUUCCUCUUCGAUCCAGAAAUCGCGAGGCAACGUGAGGAUAGUUCGGAUAAUGACGCCUCGGCUUCAGCUCUCAGUGACCGCCGUGACCACGAGCUCUUUAUACGAGGCAACCGUAUAAUUUGGAGUAUUGGUGCAAGAGUUUUUAAGAGAUUCACAUUACCUUCUUCUGUCAUCAAGGCAUGCUGGUGUCGUAUGGGUGAUAAUCCGGAAGCUCUUCUUUGUGUCUUACAACUUGAUUCUUUAACCAUCUACAAUACAUCAGGUGAAGUAGUAUCCAUUCCUCUUCCUGGUUCCAUCACAUCUAUUUGGUCUCUUCCAUUUGGACUGUUACUCCAGCAGGGGGCUGAAGGGAAUUUACUAAAGCAUGGCCCAUUUCCAUAUUCAAGUCCUUCACUGGGUUCCCGUGAUAUAAUUCGUAAUAGAAGAGAAACUGGGCAUAGCCCGCAUAACAAUUAUAGUUUUCUGAGUGCUUAUGAUCAGCUUCUUAAAGGAGAAUCAAGCUCAAUGUCGUCACAUUUGAUUCUGAAAGAUCUAUUGGAAGAACCACAGUCAAUUUACAUUGAAGAAAGAGGAAAACUGAACAUAAUGAGUGAUUUUGAUGAAAGAACAAUUUGGACCAGUGAUCUCAUCCCUCUAAUGGCAUCAUAUAACAAAGUUAAAAUGCAGCAUUCAGUUUGGGUUGCUGAAGUAAUUAAUUCAAGCCUUGAAGUGGAAAAUUCAAGUUUAUCUGCUACAGUUCCUACUGGUGUAUUGCCGAAACGCUUCAGCUUCCGUAGAAUAUGGCAGGGGAAGGGGGCUCACACAGCUGCUUCUAAGGUGUUUCUUGCAACUGAUGAUGAUUCAGCUCCUAUAAUUUGUUUUCUUUUCUUAGAGCAAAAAAAAUUACUUUCUUUAAGGCUUCAGACUGUUGAAAUAAAUAACGAGAUACUAUAUGAUGUUAAACCUGAUAUGAGCUGGAGCAUACCUGCAAUUGCUGCAGCUCCUGUCAUUGUGACACGGCCCAGUGUGAAGGUGGGAUUGCUGCCAUAUACAGACAUCAUUGUUUUGGCUCCAGAAAGCAUAUUAAUUCUUUAUUCCGGGAAGCAAUGCCUUUGCAGAUAUUUGCUGCCUUCAUGUUUGGGCAUAGGAAAUCCCUCUUGCAAUUUGGGGUUCUCAAAAGCAACAUCCAUUUCCCAUGACCUCAAGAUUGUAGGAUUGGCUGACGCUGUUGAAGCGCGUAUUAAUGUGAAAGUAAAUAAUCGAAUGAUAUUUCGAUGUGCACUACAUAGAAGCCCGUCAUCGUCGUUGGCAAAUGAUUCCAUAACAGCAAUGGCUGAGGGGCUUAGCCCGAGUUUCUAUAACCAUUUUCUGGUUCUUCUUUGGGGUGAUAGUGAAUCUAGCCGCUUGUCAGAGGCUAAUCCUACUGUUGAUUCUGAAUGGAGUUCCUUUUGUGAUGCUAUCAUGCAAAUGUGCAAGAAGUCAUCUGUAGUUUCUCAAGAGACAGCAGAAUCGUCUUGGGAGUAUCUUCUCAAUAGCAAAUUUCACAAGAACUACUGCAAAAUAAACAAUAUGAUUGGAUUGUCUUCUGGUGUAGCACUUGACAGGACAGGAUUGGAUUCAAUGAGAUCAAAUAUAGACGGUACAAAAAGUUCAGAAAAAUCAUUUCACUUUGAUCUAUUGAUGGAAAGUUUGGACUCUCUGCAUGCAGUUUAUGAAAGUCUGAAAAUGGAUAACCUUCGAAGAAGGGAUUUGGAGCUUCUGGCAAUUCUAUUGUGUAAUAUUGCAAAAUUCUUGGGUGAAGAAUGUUAUUUGGAUCAUUAUGUUCGUGAUUUUCCUGCUCUUUGCAAGACAGUCAAGAUGGGCAUAAAUUGUUUGUCCAGCAAAGCUCCUUUCAAUUUAUUCAGAUGGUUGGAAAAUUGUUUGCAACAUGGGUGUACUUCCGACAAAACUAACAAUCUUCCACUAGUAGUUUGUAAAGAUGGAAGUUCUGUGGUGAGCUGGGCUCGUAAGAUUGUAUCUUUUUACAGUUUAUUAUGUGGUGCUAAAAUCAUAGGAAAUAAGCUUUCAUCUGGUGUUAGCUGCAACAUUGCCUCUGGAUCAUCUUCCUCUAAUGAGGAGCUCACGGUGUUGGCAAUGGUUGGGGAGAAAUUUGGGUUAAAAGAGUUAGAUUCUUUGCCUUCUGGUGUAUCUCUUCCUCUCCGACAUGCUUUGGAUAAGUGUCGCGAGUCUCCUCCUGCUGACUGGCCUGCAGCUGCAUAUGUACUCAUUGGUCGUGAGGAUUUGGCUUUGUCCUGUUUGGCACGUUCAUGCAAAUUUAAGGAACUAGAAACACAAACAAAUAUGAAUUUGGUCUCUAUGUCUACACCUUACAUGCUACAUUUGCAUCCUGUGACAAUUCCUUCAACAAUAUCUGAUACUGUUGGUCUGGAAAGCACCAAGUUCGAGGAUACAGAUUCCAUUGAUGGAUCAAUGGCAGAUGGCAUGGAGAACAUAUUCAGCUCUUGCACCCAGUUGAGAUAUGGUCGGGAUCUAAGAUUAAAUGAGGUUAGGCGCCUUCUAUGCUCUGCAAGACCUGUGGCUAUCCAAACAUCAGCCAAUCCAAGUGCCUCUGAUCAGGAUCUUCAACAGGCUCAACUGUGGCAGCUUGCACAAAGGACUACUGCUCUUCCUCUUGGCCGUGGGGCAUUUACUUUAGCAACCAUAUAUACUCUAUUAACAGAGGCCUUUACUGUCCCAAAGCUUGUUUUAGCAGGGCGGUUGCCAGCCCAACAAAAUGCCACUGUUAAUCUUGAUCCAAGCAUAAGGAACAUUCAAGAACUCAAGUCAUGGCCUGAGUUCCACAAUGCUGUUGCUGCCGGGUUAAGAUUGGCCCCACUUCAGGGAAAAGUGUCAAGAACAUGGAUAAUUUAUAACAGGCCUGAGGAACCUAAUGCAGUUCAUGCUGGACUUCUCCUUGCUCUGGGAUUACACGGGUUUCUGCGUGUUUUAACUAUUACGGACACAUACCAGUACUUUUCACAGGAACAUGAAGCGACAACUGUAGGCUUAAUGCUUGGUCUGGCAGCCUCUUAUAGAGGGACCAUGCAACCUUCUAUAUCAAAGUGCCUUUAUGUGCAUAUACCUUAUCGACAUCCAUCUUCCUUUCCAGAGUUGGAGUUACCAACACUGCUGCAGACUGCAGCACUAAUGUCAGUUGGGCUUCUUUUUGAAGGAUCAGCACACCCUCAAACAAUGCAAACAUUACUGGGUGAAAUAGGCCGAAGAAGUGGAGGUGACAAUGUCCUUGAAAGGGAGGGUUAUGCUGUUUCUGCUGGCUUUUCAUUGGGUCUUGUCGCAUUGGGCCGAGGAGAAGAGGCAUUGGGAUUCAUGGAUACACUGGUUGAUCGGCUAUUUCACUAUAUUGGUGGGAAGGAAAUCCGUAAUGAAAGAUCCCUUCUGCUUGCGGCAUCAGUGGAUGAACACAACCGGGUCACUGGGCAGAUGAUGGACGGAACCACUGUCAAUGUUGAUGUCACUGCACCUGGGGCUAUGAUAGCUCUUGCUUUAAUGUUUCUGAAGAGUGAAUCAGAGGUGAUUGUCUCUCGGCUUACAAUCCCUCAAACACAUUUUGAUUUGCAAUACGUAAGACCUGAUUUUAUAAUGCUUCGUGUCAUUGCUCGGAAUUUGAUAAUGUGGGGCAGGAUUCAUCCCUCCAAAGACUGGAUUCAGUCCCAGAUUCCUGAAAUUAUAAAAAAUGGUGUCAAAGGUCUUAGGGAUGAUACUAUGGACAUUGAUGAAAUGGAUGCAGAAACUAUUGUCCAGGCAUAUGUCAAUAUAGUGGCUGGGGCAUGUAUUUCUCUUGGGUUGAGAUUUGCUGGCACAAAGGAUGCAAAUGCACAGGAGUUGCUUUAUGAAUAUGCUGCCUACUUUUUGAAUGAGAUCAAGCCUGUUUCCACUACAAAUAGGAGUACCUUUCCCAAAGGUUUAUCUCAGUAUGUUGACCGAGGCACAUUGGAGAUAUGCCUUCAUCUUAUUGUCCUAUCCUUGUCUGUGGUUAUGGCUGGCUCUGGACAUUUACAAACCUUCCGGCUUUUAAGGUUUCUCCGCAACCGGAGCUUUGUAGAUGGGCAUGCUAAUUAUGGUAUCCAGAUGGCGGUGAGUUUAGCAAUUGGUUUCUUGUUUCUUGGUGGAGGCACGAGGACAUUUUCUACCAGCAACAGUUCCAUUGCAGCAUUGCUUAUCACUCUUUAUCCACGAUUGCCUACUGGACCCAAUGAUAACCGUUGCCACCUUCAGGCUUUCAGACAUUUGUAUGUCCUUGCAACGGAGGCUCGCUGGCUUCAAACUGUUGAUGUUGACACUGGCCUUCCUGUUUAUGCUCCUCUUGAAGUCACAAUCAAGGAAACUGAGCAUUAUUCAGAAACAAGUUUUUGUGAGAUUACUCCUUGCAUUCUGCCUGAGCGUUCUAUUUUGAAGACAGUUCGCGUCUGUGGUCCUCGAUACUGGCCUCAAGUGAUUGAGCUUGUUCCUGAAAACAAACCUUGGUGGAGUUUUGGUGACAGGAACGACCCAUUUCACUCUGGUAUUCUCCAUGUCAAACGGAAAGUUGGAGCUUGUUCAUAUGUUGAUGAUCCCAUAGGAUGUCAGUCACUGCUUUCACGAGCAAUGCACAAGGUCUUUGGUUUGACAAGUCUAAGAGCUGGCUAUACGGGUAAUAAGAGCAACAAUGGAUCUGCUGCUGUUACUGUUGAUCAGCUUGUCAGCACCUUCUCUUCUGAUCCAAGCUUAAUAGCUUUCGCACAACUUUGUUGUGACCUUUCCUGGAAUAGCAGAUCUGAUAUUGAUUUCCAGGAGUUUUGCUUACAAGUAUUAUUUGAGUGUAUAAGCAAGGACAGACCAGCUCUUUUGCAGGUCUAUUUAUCCUUGUAUACCACAAUUGGCUCAUUGGCAGAGCAGGUUUCCAAUUGUAAUCUUCUUGUUGGUGACUCGUUAUCUGUCUCGAGUUUAAAGCUUGCAUUGUCCUAUAACGAGGCUGUCAUGACUGGAAGGUUGACAACUUCAAGAGGCAGCAUUGUUCAAUCCGUUUUUCUAGGAUCUGUUCGGAAACGGGUAGAAGAACUCUUGAAUAGUGCCGAGCAAUUAAAAACCGAUUUGUGUAAUUAUCUGAACUCGGGCAGUUGGCCCAAUGAUGGAUCCUUUGGGGUGAAAAGUUCAACAAUUCUUUCUUGGUAUCUUCAAUGGUUUGGUGUACCGGCUGCACCUACGGUCAAGACAAUGGUGGACAAAAUUAAGCCAAUGAAUAUCUCAUUGUCUCCGGUUCCUUUGUUAUGUUUGUUAUUACCAGGCACUCACAUAAAUGCAGUCGAAGAGAUAAACCGGUUUCUGUUGUCUACCUGAGUGUACAAAUGAAGACCUGAGCAUUUUUCCAGCUCGGUGCCUACCGUCUAUUGGAGCAUCUUCCCUGAAGAAAGCACCGCAAACAGACUUGAAAACGAGAUCAAAUAUGGAUAAUUUCAGAGAAGUUACCGACCAUAAUCGGAUUACUUUGUAUGCUAGGAACACCGAUGCCGGUUUAAUUUUCGGUAAGCCACCAUUUGCUUUAUAUUAGUUGCCAUUUUAGUGUAGCUUUUUUUAUUUCUAUUUUUUCUUUAUUUACAGUUUAAAAUAGACUUAAAUGUAGACCCCAAAAUGUUUAUUUAUUAUGUUCAUUGUAUACCAUAAUCAUGAGAUACUUUGCUUCUUGUACAUUAAUAUUAAGUACGUCAAGCUCGACAUAGUCUCACCUUUUUGGCCCUUGAUUAUAA